rnacentral:rRNA from 1 species
AGUGAACGCUGGCGGUAGGCCUAACACAUGCAAGUCGAACGGCAGCACAGUAAGAGCUUGCUCUUACGGGUGGCGAGUGGCGGACGGGUGAGGAAUACAUCGGAAUCUACUUUUUCGUGGGGGAUAACGUAGGGAAACUUACGCUACUACCGCAUACGACCUACGGGUGAAAGCAGGGGAUCUUCGGACCUUGCGCGAUUGAAUGAGCCGAUGCCGGAUUAGCUAGUUGGCGGGGUAAAGGCCCACCAAGGCGACGAUCCGUAGCUGGUCUGAGAGGAUGAUCAGCCACACUGGAACUGAGACACGGUCCAGACUCCUACGGGAGGCAGCAGUGGGGAAUAUUGGGCAAUGGGCGCAAGCCUGAUCCAGCCAUGCCGCGUGGGUGAAGAAGGCCUUCGGGUUGUAAAGCCCUUUUGUUGGGAAAGAAAAGCAGCAGGUUAAUACCCCGCUGUUCUGACGGUACCCAAAGAAUAAGCACCGGCUAACUUCGUG